UAUUAUAGGGUGGUUGGAACAAAGUUGUUAGUCUUCCUGUAACAGUAAGUUUUAUUAUUGGAUUUCCUAUUUGCCGUUGAUUGAUUGUGUGAGCAUUUAACAUAGCAUCAUUAUUAUUAAUAAUAUUCUUGUAAAAUCGUGUCAAAUCCUAAAUAGAGGUUAGAACAAUAUGACAGCUAAUCGUGGACAGAGGUAGUACUUUGAUUUAUCUGCCUGAAUGUCUGUUUGUGUGGAUGGGUUGAAGAGUUCCAUCGAACACAACAGUGAACUCCCAAGCUGGAAACCUGUGUUUGAUAUUACUUGCCUGGUUCACCAAUGCUCAAAGCACUGGUUAUUAUUGCAUAUUGCUGAGUAGAGUUUUUUUUUUUUUUUUUUUUUUUUUUUUUUUUUUUUUUUUUUCAGGUCUGUUAUUCUAUACUUCCGAAAACUCGAAAAGACAUUACGUGCAGCCUUUGAAUCCUUUGGGGAAUUAAAAGAAGGUACUUAGUUAAGGUUAUCAUGGAUAAGAUCUCUAAGAGGUCGAAGGGAUAUGCAUUUGUUGAGUACACCACUGAGGAUGCUGCUACCGCGGCUCUACAAGAGAUGAAUGGCAAAAUUAUAAAUGGGUGGAUGAUAGUUGUUGAUAGAGCAAAAAUGAAGCCGCGUCACAGUACGAAACGCUCAAAAUCAUUGUCAUCACGAAACAAACAUGCUAAGUAGAGUUUCUGCUUCAUCAAAAUUUACAAACCAACAACUGAAGACGGACAAUUCUUUCAAGCACAAUUUUUAGGUGGUCUUCCAAACGAAAUCCUUAGGUGCUCAGCUGAAAGAGGAUUUUUCCGUAGGUGCUGUCCAUGAAAGGCUGAGCUGAGAAAGAUACAACUUAAAUGAGGAAUGAUAUAGGCUAAAGUUAGCAAGGUUGCUGCAUCAAAAUAUUUGAAAUAAAAUCCUAUUUGAAGGGAAAAGUAUGGUAUCAACAUUUUUUUUGUAGCAGGUGGUAAAUUUAAGGGAUGAAAUAUAGCAAAGACAAUUGUACUUUAUGCGGAGUAUUAAUACAAUGUUAAUUUGUGAUGGGUGUUGUGCAUUUUUACCUA